rnacentral:rRNA from 1 species
GAAACCGGAGCUAAUACCGGAUAAUAUUUUGAACCGCAUGGUUCAAUAGUGAAAGACGGUUUUGCUGUCACUUAUAGAUGGAUCCGCGCCGCAUUAGCUAGUUGGUAAGGUAACGGCUUACCAAGGCAACGAUGCGUAGCCGACCUGAGAGGGUGAUCGGCCACACUGGAACUGAGACACGGUCCAG